GACGAACGCUGGCGGCGUGCUUAACACAUGCGAGUCGAACGGAAAGGCCCUGCUUUUGUGGGGUGCUCGAGUGGCGAACGGGUGAGUAACACGUGAGUAACCUGCCCUUGACUUUGGGAUAACUUCAGGAAACUGGGGCUAAUACCGGAUAGGAGCUCCUGCUGCAUGGUGGGGGUUGGAAAGUUUCGGCGGUUGGGGAUGGACUCGCGGCUUAUCAGCUUGUUGGUGGGGGAGUGGCUUACCAAGGCUUUGACGGGUAGCCGGCCUGGGAGGGUGACCGGCCACAUUGGGACUGAGAUACGGCCCAGACUCCUACGGGAGGCAGCAGUGGGGAAUAUUGCACAAUGGGCGGAAGCCUGAUGCAGCAACGCCGCGUGCGGGAUGACGGCCUUCGGGUUGUAAACCGCUUUCGCCUGUGACGAAGCGUGAGUGACGGUAAUGGGUAAAGAAGCACCGGCUAACUACGUG
rnacentral:rRNA from 1 species